rnacentral:sRNA from 1 species
AAUUUUUACUUCAGUUACAAACUUUGUGUUUGAUUCAGAAUGGCUGAUGAUCAAGAUGACCAGAAUCUACCCACAAACAUUGGUGCUGGAGAUGCACCAAGGAAUCACCAUCAAAGGAAAGGGAUUGUACCUCCAGCUGUCCAGAACAAUAAUUUUGAGAUUAAGAGUGAUCUCAUCUCGAUUAUUCAGGAUAACAAAUUCCAUGGUCUGCCAAUGGAGGAUCCACUCGACUACCUUCAUGAAUUCGUUAGGCUCUACAACUUAACAAAAAUCAAUGGUGUUAGUGAAGACGGAUUCAUGCUCCGUUUGUUCCCAUUCUCCUUGGGCGACAAAGCACACAUCUGGGAGAAGAAUCUGCCCCAUGACUUAAUCACCACCUGGGAUGACUGUAAGAAGGCUUUUCUAUCAAAGUUCCUCUCCAACGCUAGAACUGCAAGACUCAGAAAUGAGAUCUCUGGCUUUUUACAGAACACUGGUGAAAGCUUCUGUGAAGCAUGGGAGCGUUUCAAGGGUUACACCAACCAAUGCCCUCAUCAUGGCUUCACUAAAGCCUCUCUGCUCAGCACUCUUUACGGAGGAGUCCUACCACGCAUCAGAAUGCUUCUGGAUACCGCCAGCAAUGGAAAUUUCCUGAACAAAAAUGUUAAAGAAGGCUGGGAAUUGGUUGAGAACCUUGCUCAAUCAAAUGGCAAUUACAACGAGGACUGCUAUAGGACCGUCAGAGGCAUAGUUGACUCUGAUGACAAACACAGGAAGGAGAUCAAAGCGCUGAAUGACAAGCUGGACAGGAUUCUCCUUAGCCAGCAGAAGCAUGUGCACUUCCUUGUUGAUGAGUAGUAGUAUCAAGUCCAAGAUGGGGAGGGUAACCAGUUGGAAGAAGUCAGCUACAUCAACAACAACCAGAGUGGCUACAAAGGGUAUAACAACUUCAAAACCAACAACCCCAACCUCUCCUACCGCAGCACCAACGUUGCUAAUCCUUAGGAUCAAAUGUAUCCUCCACAAAAACAACAAGGUUAGAACAAACCUUUUGUUCCCUACAAUCAAGGUUUUAUUCCAAAGCAGCGAUUUCAGGGGAACUACCAGCAACAACCACCACCUUGGUUUGCACCUCAGCAAAACCAAGGUACUUCUGCUCCUGAUGCUGAAAUGAAACAGAUGGUAUAACAACUGCUACAUGGACAAGCAUCUAGCUCCAUGGAAAUUGCUAAGAAGUUAUCUGAAUUGCACCACAAGCUGGAAUGCAACUACAAUGACCUGAAUGCAAAAAUGGAGGCGUUGAAUUCCAAAGUCAGAUACUUGGAAGGACAAUCCGCAUCUACCUCUGCUCCCAAAGUUACGGAACUUCCAGGUAAGUCAAUUCAAAAUUCUAAGGAGUAUGCAAAUGUUCAUGCUAUCAACAUAAGGAGUGGAAGUGAGUUAUCCACUAGAGAGAGACCCAAGUCAGUCACUAAGGACAGUGCAUACCAAGAUGGGGAGGAUUUCAGUCUCAAUAAAGAUCAAGCUGACAAACAACUCGAGCAGCCACUCGACCAGUCACUCGAGCAGCCACUCGACCAGUCACUCGAGCAGCCACUCGACCAGUCACUCGAGCAGCCACUCGACCAGUCACUCGAGCAGCCACUCGACCAGUCACUCGAGCAGCCACUCGACCUGUCACUCGAGCUGCCACUUGACCACUUCACUCGACCGACCUUCCUAGCAACAUCACCAACUACUCCGAAACAUGUUGCUGUCAAAAACAAAGAAAAAGUUUUCAUUCCUCAUCCUUACAAGCCCCCACUUCCAUUUCCUGGUCGACAUAAGAAAGAGUUAGAAGAUAAGUACACAGCUAUGUUUGCCAAGAACAUCAAGGAAGUCGAAUUAAGGAUACCUCUUGCUGAUGCUCUAACGCGUAUCCUGGAUUCCCAAAAGUUCCUCAAAGACUUGAUCAUGGAGAGAAUUCAAGAGGUUCAAAAACAACAGUUAUGAGCCAUGAGUGCAGUGUCAUCAUAGAUGAGAACGAUGUCUCAGAAAAGCUAGGAGACCCUGGUUCAUUCAUUCUACCAUGCUCCCUAGGUUUAUUGACUUUCAAUAAAUGCCUUUGUGACCUAGGAGCGUCAGUAAAUCUCAUGCCACUCUCAGUAGCUAAGAGGUUGGGUUUUAACAAGUAUUAAUACUGCAAUAUCUCCUUGAUCUUGGCUGAUAGGUCUGUUAGACUACCUCAUGGGUUAUAAGAAGAUUUGCCUAUUAGAUUGGAAAUGUGGAGGUGCCUACAGACUUCGUAGUGCUAAACAUGGAUGAAGAACCAAAAGAUCCCUUGAUAUUAAGAAGACCCUUUUUGGCUACAGCUGGAGCAAUCAUAGAUGUUAAGCAAGGAAAGAUUGAUCUUAAUCUGGGGAAGAAUUUUGAAAUGAAGUUUGAUAUCAAUGAUGUUAUGAAGAAGCCGACAAUAGAAGAACAUACCUUCUUAAUUAAGGAAGUGGAUCAGCUAGCUGGUGCACUGCUAGUGGAACUUGAAGAAGCAAAUGAUUCAAAAACUGUUUUGACCAAGAAUGGUAAAGAUGGGUAUCUCCCUAGUGAAACUUUGAGUUCUAAGAAUUCAUUAGACUCACAAAAGGCAGCAGUUGACUCAGAGGUUUACAAGGGCUUGAUGGGGUCUGACACAAAUGUUAUGAAAGCUAAUGACGUAAGUUCAACACAUGCUCGACCAACUACUUCCACCAACAACUCGAAGAAGCCUCCAACUUGUCCCGAAAGCUCAUGCUCGACCAAACAACUCAAGGCAAGCACUCAGAUGUCAGAUGAUUGGUUAGAACUCAAGGAGAGAUCUAAAUGGCAAGACAAAGCCAUACAAGAGUUAACACAUAUUGUGAAAGAGCUAAAGGAUCAAAUCAAGGAGCUCAAUGGAAAAGCCAACCAAGUACCACUCAACAUCAAGGACGCCCCUGACGAUGGAGACCUGUCAAGAAAUCCUAAUGAGUAUGAUGAUCACUCUACUAAAGAAGGAGAGGAGACCUCAUUUCCUCUCUACAACCCACCGUAAGCCUAAUGAGUAUGAGAAGUCAAGCUUAAAGACAUACAACAAGCUCACUUGGGAGCAAAUCCCAUGUCUAUCUUUGUACAUAUCUUUAUUUUCCUUGUUGUUUUUGAUGCAUUUGGUUAGUGUUUUCAGGAGAUAAGUAUAAAGAGCUGAGUGAAGUGGAUUCUGGCUCUGAGAGUACAACACUAUACUCGACCACAAAGCAAUGAAGGAUACUCGACCAUGUUCUAGCUUAUCCACGCCAGGAGAUCACUCGACUGCGGUGCUGGCCGCAGCAGAAGAAUGGAGGUCGAGUAUACUCAUGGCGGUGCUGGCCGCCAUAGAGGCACUGAGGUCGAGUACCCACAUGCAGGAGCUGAGACAGAACAGGGCGGCUCGUCUAUGGCCUGGGAGCAAUCACAUGCAGCCAUUGACGACCAACUUCGUUCGUUCUUCGAGUGAGGUAAGCGUCUCACUUCACCAUUGUAUUAUAUCAUCUCUUGUGAUUUGUUCUUCAUUUUGUUUCUGUGAUUGGAUUUGUCCUGAGUACUCUCUUCCAAGUUUAUUCACACAGUGGACUGUGUGAUUUAAGUUUGGGGGAGGGCUCAGGAAGUGUGUGUUGCACUGUGUAUAUUUUUUAGUCUGCAUUCAUUUAAGGCAUAGAAAAACCAAAACAAUUUGAAAAAUUUCAGAAAAUGAUUUCAUAAAAAAGAGUGUUAAUGUAGUUGCAUUACAUUUAGGAUCGAGUCGAGAGUGUUGCAUUUAGGAUUGUUGCAUAAGCAUAGGGGAUGAUGAUGAGAUAGCCUUGUAAGCAUUUUGGUUCACCGGAUAAACUCAGUGCCCUCGUUGCUAGUUGUCUGUUGCCUAGUCAAUGAAUUUGAAAUAAAACUGAACCAUGCCUAGAUUGCUCUACUCUACCACACUGUCAUGAUUUGAUACCACUCCCUAUCAAUUUGAACCUGAAUCUGAUCUUUAAUUAUCAUGUCUGCAUCAAAUUUGAACUCAUGGAUACCCUAAAAUACUUGGAUUUUCUUACUCAUUUUGAUCACUCUUGUUAAUCCAAGUAGCUCACUCUCCCUAUUAGAGCAGUUAACCCGAACCUAAACCUAGACUUUCUUUUAAACCCUAUAUCACUUGUGAGUGUUUGUGAGGUCUUAUUCCGAUUAAGCUUGGUAGAAAGUGUUAGGUUCGUAACCACAGAGAUAGUGUCUCAUGUAGUUCUAGUUCGCAUUUUUCGGACUAGAUAGGACUAGGUGGGUGCUUAUACUUUGGGUUGGGAUGUGUUUAAAAAAAAAAA